rnacentral:rRNA from 1 species
GAUGAACGCUGGCGGCGUGCCUAAUACAUGCAAGUCGAGCGAAUGGAUUAAGAGCUUGCUCUUAUGAAGUUAGCGGCGGACGGGUGAGUAACACGUGGGUAACCUGCCCAUAAGACUGGGAUAACUCCGGGAAACCGGGGCUAAUACCGGAUAACAUUUUGAACCGCAUGGUUCGAAAUUGAAAGGCGGCUUCGGCUGUCACUUAUGGAUGGACCCGCGUCGCAUUGGCUAGUUGGUGAGGUAACGGCUCACCAAGGCAACGAUGCGUAGCCGACCUGGGAGGGUGAUCGGCCAAACGGGGACUGAGACACGGCCCAGACUCCUACGGGGGGCAGCAGUAGGGAAUCUUCCGCAAUGGACGAAAGUCUGACGGAGCAACGCCGCGUGAGUGAUGAAGGCUUUCGGGUCGUAAAACUCUGUUGUUAGGGAAGAACAAGUGCUAGUUGAAUAAGCUGGCACCUUGACGGUACCUAACCAGAAAGCCACGGCUAACUACAUGCCAGCCGCCGCAGUAA